UCGAGCGGACAGAAGGGAGCUUGCUCCCGGAUGUUAGCGGCGGACGGGUGAGUAACACGUGGGUAACCUGCCUGUAAGACUGGGAUAACUCCGGGAAACCGGAGCUAAUACCGGAUAGUUCCUUGAACCGCAUGGUUCAAGGAUGAAAGACGGUUUCGGCUGUCACUUACAGAUGGACCCGCGGCGCAUUAGCUAGUUGGUGAGGUAACGGCUCACCAAGGCGACGAUGCGUAGCCGACCUGAGAGGGUGAUCGGCCACACUGGGACUGAGACACGGCCCAGACUCCUACGGGAGGCAGCAGUAGGGAAUCUUCCGCAAUGGACGAAAGUCUGACGGAGCAACGCCGCGUGAGUGAUGAAGGUUUUCGGAUCGUAAAGCUCUGUUGUUAGGGAAGAACAAGUGCAAGAGUAACUGCUUGCACCUUGACGGUACCUAACCAGAAAGCCACGGCUAACUACGUGCCAGCAGCCGCGGUAAUACGUAGGUGGCAAGCGUUGUCCGGAAUUAUUGGGCGUAAAGGGCUCGCAGGCGGUUUCUUAAGUCUGAUGUGAAAGCCCCCGGCUCAACCGGGGAGGGUCAUUGGAAACUGGGAAACUUGAGUGCAGAAGAGGAGAGUGGAAUUCCACGUGUAGCGGUGAAAUGCGUAGAGAUGUGGAGGAACACCAGUGGCGAAGGCGACUCUCUGGUCUGUAACUGACGCUGAGGAGCGAAAGCGUGGGGAGCGAACAGGAUUAGAUACCCUGGUAGUCCACGCCGUAACGAUGAGUGCUAAGUGGUUA
rnacentral:rRNA from 1 species